AAGGCACUUAACCUCGUCAUGAGGGAACACAGCUGCAGGGCCUUCGCUGAGAUUCGUGACCAGAUGGCUUUGGGGCAUCCACUCUGGGCAUGGCACUGGAUUGUUCCCCAUGAGAGGAGUCAAAAAAAAAAAUGAGGGGCAGUGAUUCUAAAGAAAAUCUUGUGAAGUGAAUGGAUGGAGGCCCAACACAACAAACCCAUGCUUUCUCCCUCGGCUGCUGCUUGGGGUGUGUAUUCCUCUUCAAGUCAAUACUGUUCCAGAAAGACCCAUGGAGCCUUCGCUGUAGUACAGGAGUGUAGUGACGCAGAGUUUGGAUUUUACUUGCAGAGAAUCCCCUUCUUGGGUAAAAGGUCACUUUGCGCCUGAAGUGUGGACUUUUCUCCUCGGAGCCCUUCUGGUCGCCGUGUCUGCUACAUGAACGGUGCAGUAAAACUGCUGACGUUUGAAGUGUGUUAUUUCAUCUGCAUUACCCUCCUGGAAUACUGCUAUAUAGGGACCACUCUCAUGCCAUCUCCUCGCUCAUGAAAGCACUUGUGAUACUGGCUAAUUUUCUGAACUCAGAGAUAAUCAUUAUGUUUCUAUCACUUUACA